rnacentral:rRNA from 1 species
AGUGAACGCUGGCGGUAGGCCUAACACAUGCAAGUCGAACGGCAGCACAGUAAGAGCUUGCUCUUACGGGUGGCGAGUGGCGGACGGGUGAGGAAUACAUCGGAAUCUACUUUUUCGUGGGGGAUAACGUAGGGAAACUUACGCUAAUACCGCAUACGACCUACGGGUGAAAGCAGUGGAUCUUCGGACCUUUCGCGAUUGAAUGAGCCGAUGUCGGAUUAGCUAGUUGGCGGGGUAAAGGCCCACCAAGGCGACGAUCCGUAGCUGGUCUGAGAGGAUGAUCAGCCACACUGGAACUGAGACACGGCCCAGACUCCUACGGGAGGCAGCAGUGGGGAAUAUUGGACAAUGGGCGCAAGCCUGAUCCAGCCAUACCGCGUGGGUGAAGAAGGCCUUCGGGUUGUAAAGCCCUUUUGUUGGGAAAGAAAAGCAGCAGGUUAAUACCCCGCUGUUCUGACGGUACCCAAAGAAUAAGCACCGGCUAACUUCGUG